rnacentral:rRNA from 1 species
AGUGAACGCUGGCGGUAGGCCUAACACAUGCCAGUCGAACGGCCGCACAGUAAGAGCUUGCUCUUACGGGUGGCGAGUGGCGGACGGGUGAGGAAUACAUCGGAAUCUACUUUUUCGUGGGGGAUAACGUAGGGAAACUUACGCUAAUACCGCAUACGACCUACGGGUGAAAGCAGGGGAUCUUCGGACCUUGCGCGAUUGAAUGAGCCGAUGUCGGAUUAGCUAGUUGGCGGGGUAAAGGCCCACCAAGGCGACGAUCCGUAGCUGGGCUGAGAGGAUGAUCAGCCACACUGGAACUGAGACACGGUCCAGACUCCUACGGGAGGCAGCAGUGGGGAAUAUUGGACAAUGGGCGCAAGCCUGAUCCAGCCAUACCGCGUGGGUGAAGAAGGCCUUCGGGUUGUAAAGCCCUUUUGUUGGGAAAGAAAAGCAGCAGGUUAAUACCCCGCUGUUCUGACGGUACCCAAAGAAUAAGCACCGGCUAACUUCGUG